UACGUAGGGGGCAAGCGUUGUCCGGAUUUAUUGGGCGUAAAGAGCGUGUAGGCGGUCAGGUAGGUCCGUUGUGAAAACUCGAGGCUCAACCUCGAGACGCCGAUGGAAACCAUCUGACUAGAGUCCGGAAGAGGAGAGUGGAAUUCCUGGUGUAGCGGUGGAAUGCGCAGAUAUCAGGAGGAACACCAAUAGCGAAGGCAGCUCGCUGGGACGGUACUGACGCUGAGGCGCGAAAGCGUGGGGAGCGAGCAGG
rnacentral:rRNA from 1 species